ACGCUCGACACCUACGUGAGGCAGCAGUGAAGAAUAUUGCGCAAUGGGGCAACCCUGACGCAGCAACGCCGCGUGAAGGAUGAAGGUUUUCGGAUUGUAAACUUCUUUUGUCAAGGACGAAGGACGUGACGGUACUUGACGAAUAAGCCACGGCUAACUACGUACCAGCAGCCGCGGUAAUCUGAGCGGGCUGGCAAGGC
rnacentral:rRNA from 1 species